UCCUUUCCCGCACGAGGUUCUUGGAAGCUCCUCUUCUUCUUUCAAACUUUGCGUAAUGCGGUGUCUGUAUUACAAGAAAUGUUCCCAAACGUGUUCCUGACACAAAAUUUUGCUGGUGGAACCUUCUGGAGGGAAAUUCGCUCACCUAUUCAAGUGCCAGCAACGGCGAAACAUGAAGCACAUGAACAUAAUGUGAUGAGUUUGGAGUACUGAAAGACUAAUGGUGGACUUCAGAUACAGCUACAUGCAUUUAAGGCAAUCAAGAAGCAAACAACAACAUGGGAAAACUAAGAUCAACGGAGGAGUCAGAUACAGCUAGAUCAGGGCAAACAAGAAACACGUAAAGUUAACACCAAAAGAUGUGGAGGUGGAAGUGGAAGUGAAAUACAUCAGACAUGGCAGGAUUUCUCAGUGAUCAGACGAUUAAUGGAAGGUGAAGGAAAAGACAAGACACUAGAGGCAACAUUAAGAAGACAGGACGCUUAGGACAAGACAUAGUAUGCAAGGGACAAAAGUAAGACGAACUGAGAGAUCGGGAGAUUUUUUCAACCCAAAAAGUAGAAUGUGUAAGACAGGAUUUUUUCCGUUGACCAAACGUUUAGGAUCGGCUUUGUUUUCCUUACAAUUGACUAGAACACGAAGGUUAUCUAUAGAAAUGAACAGGCCCAAAAAAUGAUUUACAGUUAGGAUUUGUAGAAAAUGUGUCGUCAGCUUUGCUUUACAAAUUUUAAUUCAGUUUUAAUCACUUUGUCUUUGUUCACGAUGCGAGAGCUUGGUGGAUUGUGUGACUGACGCGUACGUGGCUCUUGAGCAUCAGUGCUGUUGCGUUACACUAGCAGCCGUUGAGAAUAUGUUAAUAAGGCUUUGUGCGGGAAUUUCUAUACACGGCAUUGCAACAGGAGAUUUAACUGUUAAUUUAGCAAAUAAAGGUUGUGAAGUGCUUUUUGAUAUUUUGUUGGCUUGUUUAGACAAACGGCAAGACAGCAGGGUACCAAAAGAAACUUUAUUUCCUUUAUUUUCUGGGUUAGUUAGCAGUUAAAAUGUACGAUAACAUUUCCUGAAUUUGAUUAAUUCCCGUGCAAAACUUUGUUAACAUGUUCUCAACAGUCGUUAGUGUAACGCAACACUACUGAUGUUCAAUAGUCACGUACGUUUCUAUCGUAUGAUUCACCGAGUUCUCGUAUCGUGAGCUUCGAAAGCCUUUGAUUUUCCUUGAGAAGUAAAUUUUUACAGUUAGCCUUCGUUUUUAGAAUCCCAACUUUUUACAAGUUUCUUUCACGGACCAAUUUCAGAAUGGAUUGUCUUAUUUGUCCAACAUCUCCCAACCAAAAGCGAGUUUAAAAAGUUUUCUUGAAACCAGCUAAGUUUUUGUCGAGUUAGUUUUGUACAAAAUCUAUUUCUCUUGUUUAUUAAAUGUUUUGUAAAAAUUGUCUUGACUGCCUAAAUUUACUUCUAGAGUAACCCAUGUCAAAACUUUUAAUUUUCCCGCC